rnacentral:rRNA from 1 species
AACGUAGGACACAAGCGUUAUCCGGAGUUACUGGGCGUAAAGGGCGUGUAGGCGGACGUGUAAGUCUAUUCUGAAAGCUCCUGGCUAAACUGGGAGAGGCGUAUGGAGACUGCAUAUCUAGAGUGAGGAAGAGGAAAGUGGAAUUCCGCGUGUAGUGGUGAAAUGCGUAGAGAUGCGGAGGAACACCAGUGGCGAAAGCGACUUUCUGGUCCUUAACUGACGCUGAGGCGCGAAAGCAUGGGGAGCGAACGGG